rnacentral:rRNA from 1 species
AUUGAACGCUGGCGGCAGGCCUAACACAUGCAAGUCGAGCGAGUGGCGGACGGGUGAGUAAUGUCUGGGGAUCUGCCUGAUGGAGGGGGAUAACUACUGGAAACGGUAGCUAAUACCGCAUACCAUCGGAUGUACCCAGAUGGGAUUAGCUAGUAGGUGGGGUAAAGGCUCACCUAGGCGACGAUCCCUAGCUGGUCUGAGAGGAUGACCAGCCACACUGGAACUGAGACACGGCCCAGACUCCUACGGGAGGCAGCAGUGGGGAAUAUUGCACAAUGGGCGCAAGCCUGAUGCAGCCAUGCCGCGUGUAUGAAGAAGGCCUUAGGGUUGUAAAGUACUUUCAGCGGGGAGGCGUUACCCGCAGAAGAAGCACCGGCUAACUCCGUGCCAGCAGCCGCGGUAAUAC